AGAACGAACGCUGGCGGCAUGCCUAAUAUAUGCAAGCCGAACGAACUCUUCGGAGUUAGUGGCGCACGGGUGCGUAACGCGUGGGAAUCUGCCCCUUGGUUCGGAAUAACAGUUGGAAACGACUGCUAAUACCGGAUGAUGACGAAAGUCCAAAGAUUUAUCGCCAAGGGAUGAGCCCGCGUAGGAUUAGCUAGUUGGUGAGGUAAAGGCUCACCAAGGCAACGAUCCUUAGCUGGUCUGAGAGGAUGAUCAGCCACACUGGGACUGAGACACGGCCCAGACCCCUACGGGAGGCAGCAGUAGGAAUAUUGGACAAUGGGCGAAAGCCUGAUCCAGCAAUGCCGCGUGAGUGAUGAAGG
rnacentral:rRNA from 1 species